GACGAACCGUGCGAACGUUGUUCGGAAUUACUGGGCGUAAAGGGCGCGUAGGCGGCCUAUUAAGUCAUACGUGAAAUCCCUCGGCUCAACCGGGGAACUGCGUGUGAUACUGAUUGGCUUGAAUUCGGGAGAGGGAUGCGGAAUUCCAGGUGUAGCGGUGAAAUGCGUAGAUAUCUGGAGGAACACCGGUGGCGAAGGCGGCAUCCUGGACCGAUAUUGACGCUGAUGCGCGAAAGCCAGGGGAGCAAACGGG
rnacentral:rRNA from 1 species